AGUUCGAAAAUUUACGAACUAUAGUUUAAACCUCAAAGACUUUGGCGGUGUCUUAUCAAACCAGGGGAAUCUGUCUCAUAACUCGAUAAUCCACGUAUUCUCCACCCUCCUUAGAUUAAUCAGCCUGUGUACUGCCGUCGUAAACACACCUCUAAAAGAAUAAGUAUGUAAUUAUGAUAACCUCAUAUACGUCAGGUCAAAGUCGCAGCUCAUGGGAGGGAGAAUGAUGGAUUACAACCUCUACAAGGACACGAAUUAUAAUGUUAAAAACUAUACGAAGGUGGACUUGGUUGUAAUUUAAAUUCUAAAUUUAAACGAAACUGAAUCUAAGACAUGCACACAUCGCCCGUCACUCUAACCUAAAGGCU
rnacentral:rRNA from 1 species